GAUGUAUAGCUCAGUGGGAGAGUAUUUGUCUAGUACACACAAGGCCCUGGGUUCAAUCCCUAGUACCAUCA
rnacentral:tRNA from 1 species